rnacentral:rRNA from 1 species
AUCGAACGCUGGCGGAAUGCUUUACACAUGCAAGUCGAACGGCAGCACGGACUUCGGUCUGGCGGCGAGUGGCGAACGGGUGAGUAAUGUAUCGGAACGUGCCCAGUCGUGGGGGAUAACGUAGUGAAAAUUACGCUAAUACCGCAUACGAUCUAUGGAUGAAAGCGGGGGAUCGCAAGACCUCGCGCGAUUGGAGCGGCCGAUAUCAGAUUAGGUAGUUGGGGGGGUAAAGGCCCACCAAGCCAACGAUCUGUAGCUGGUCUGAGAGGACGACCAGCCACACUGGAACUGAGACACGGUCCAGACUCCUACGGGAGGCAGCAGUGGGGAAUUUUGGACAAUGGGCGAAAGCCUGAUCCAGCCAUUCCGCGUGCAGGAUGAAGGCCCUCGGGUUGUAAACUGCUUUUGUACAGAACGAAAAGGUUUCUACUAAUACUAGGAGCUCAUGACGGUACUGUAAGAAUAAGCACCGGCUAACUACGUGCCAGCCGCCGCCGUAA